ACGCUCGACACCUACGAGAGGCAGCAGUGAGGAAUAUUGGUCAAUGGGCGCUAGCCUGAACCAGCCAAGUAGCGUGAAGGAUGAAGGCUCUAUGGGUCGUAAACUUCUUUUAUAUAAGAAUAAAGUGCAGUAUGUAUACUGUUUUGUAUGUAUUAUAUGAAUAAGGAUCGGCUAACUCCGUGCCAGCAGCCGCGGUAAUCUGAGGCGGGCUGGCAAGGC
rnacentral:rRNA from 1 species